GACGAACGCUGGCGGCGUGCUUAACACAUGCAAGUCGAGCGGUAAGGCCCUUUCGGGGGUACGACGAGCGGCGAACGGGUGAGUAACACGUGGGUGACCUGCCCUCAGCUCUGGGAUAAGCCUGGGAAACUGGGUCUAAUACUGGAUAUGACUCCACGGUGCAUGUCGUGGGGUGGAAAGCCUUGUGCGGCUGAGGAUGGGCCCGCGGCCUAUCAGCUUGUUGGUGGGGGAUGGCCUACCAAGGCGACGACGGGUAGCCGGCCUGAGAGGGCGACCGGCCACACUGGGACUGAGACACGGCCCAGACUCCUACGGGAGGCAGCAGUGGGGAAUCUUGCGCAAUGGGCGAAAGCCUGACGCAGCGACGCCGCGUGAGGGAUGACGGCCU
rnacentral:rRNA from 1 species